rnacentral:lncRNA from 1 species
CAGCAAACAAUAAGCAUUAUAAAAUUGUUUAUUUCUUAUCAAUCCUUAAUAGUACUAUGAAAUGUUCUAUUUCUAAAGUAAAGUUUUAAAUUAUUAAUCACACCAUUUAUUAUACUUUCAAAGUCUACUCCGAUAAUACAAUGUUAAGUCAUUGUAUGUUAUAGAAUGACUAAAUCCUUACUUCUAAAAUUGAUAGUGGUGGUGGUGUUGUUGUUGCUCCACAUUUGAUGCUUACAGAGACCUUCAUCCGCUACUUUAUCCGCUUCUUCAGUCGUAAAUAUUUUUAUACCGGGCCUCGUACCUCACUUGAACAACACCAGAUACGUAUGCAAAUUAUCAUUAUUUUUAUGAACAAAGAAUGUAUCUUUUCCCUUGUUGGAGAAAAACUAAGCAUGUAAGUAAUGGGCAGCUGCCUCAGCGAGCAUGUUAAUUGACCUCAUNNNNNNNNNNNNNNNNNNNNNNNNNAACCAAUGGUUGGGGUAGGUCUGUUUAAUAAUGGUUUAUUGUAAAUCAAUAGUCGAGCGACGAAUAAAUUAUAAACUUGGGUUAAAAAUUACAGAACUCAAACUACACAAUAAUGAUGAAGAAGAAGAGAUUUGACCACUGACCAAUUGAUCCGAGGACAAUAAAUAUCCCUUAGAAGUACUUUCCAAUCUAUUGCACUGCCAUAUUAACCCCCAAAACGACAAAUUCGAGCUCCCUUGCCAAAUGGAGUUGACUGCUAAGGAGCUAAAAAUAUGGUUUUGAGAGGAAAGAAGGAAGAAGGAAAAAAGUGGAGUGGAGCUCUAUGCGCAAAAUGGAGAAAAAACACAAGCUAAAAUGGAUAACAAUGGCAGAUUUGGGUGCAGGAAGAGGAAGAGGAAGAAGAGGGUGGGAAUGAGAGAUAAUGGAUUUUGGAGAAAAAAAUUGUAUUUUUUUAUCUAUAUAUGGUGAUUAAUGUGUAAUAAUUGAAACUUUGAGGCUGGGUC